GGUAAGGGUGGAAAGGUGAGGUAAGAGCUCACCAGCAGUCUGGUAACAGGCUGGCUCGGUAAACCCCAUCCGGAGCAAGACCGAAUAGGGAAGGGUUAACGGUGGUCCCGCCUACCUUCCGGGUUGUGUCGCUCGAGCGUGCAGGCGACUGUACGCCUAGAAAGAUAAUCGUCACCGCGUAAGCGGAACAGAACUCGGCUUAAUGAUUGCUUGCUUCU
rnacentral:RNase_P_RNA from 1 species